CCAAUAGCGUAUAUUAAAGUUGUUGCAGUUAAAAAGCUCGUAGUUGAAUUUCGGGAUCAGUACGCCGGUCGUGCCUUCGGUAUGUACUGGUGUCACUGAUUCCUACCUUCUGAAGAACCGUUAUGCCAUUCAUUUGGUGUGACGGGGAAUCAGGACUGUUACUUUGAAAAAAUUAGAGUGUUUAACGCAGGCUCGCGCUUGAAUACAUUAGCAUGGAAUAAUGAAAUAGGACGUUUGAUCUUAUUUUGUUGGUUUCUAGGAUCGACGUAAUGAUUAAUAGGGAUAGUUGGGGGCAUUAGUAUUCAAUUGUCAGAGGUGAAAUUCUUGGAUUUAUUGAAGACUAACUACUGCGAAAGCAUUUGCCAAGGAUGUUUUCAUUAAUCAAGAACGAAAGUUAGGGGAUCGAAGACGAUCAGAUACCGUCGUAGUCUUAACCAUAAACUAUGCCGACUAGGGAUCGGAUGAUGUUAUUUUUAAUGACUCAUUCGGCGCCUUACG
rnacentral:rRNA from 1 species